rnacentral:rRNA from 1 species
GUCUGGGGACUGCCUGAUGGAGGGGGAUAACUACUGGGAACGGUAGCUAAUACCGCAUAAUGUCGCAAGACCAAAGAGGGGGACCUUCGGGCCUCUUGCCAUCGGAUGUGCCCAGAUGGGAUUAGCUAGUAGGUGGGGUAAUGGCUCACCUAGGCGACGAUCCCUAGCUGGUCUGAGAGGAUGACCAGCCACACUGGAACUGAGACACGGUCCAGACUCCUACGGGAGGCAGCAGUGGGGAAUAUUGCACAAUGGGCGCAAGCCUGAUGCAGCCAUGCCGCGUGUAUGAAGAAGGCCUUCGGGUUGUAAAGUACUUUCAGCGGGGAGGAAGGUGAUGUGGUUAAUAACCCCGUCGAUUGACGUUACCCGCAGAAGAAGCACCGGCUAACUCCGUGCCAGCAGCCGCGGUAAUACGGAGGGUGCAAGCGUUAAUCGGAAUUACUGGGCGUAAAGCGCACGCAGGCGGUCUGUCAAGUCGGAUGUGAAAUCCCCGGGCUCAACCUGGGAACUGCAUUCGAAACUGGCAGGCUAGAGUCUUGUAGAGGGGGGUAGAAUUCCAGGUGUAGCGAUGAAAUGCGUANAGAUCUGGAGGAAUACCGGUGGCGAAGGCGGCCCCCUGUACAAAGACUGACGCUCAGGUGCGAAA